rnacentral:rRNA from 1 species
CUGCAGAAUUCAGGAACGCGAAGAACCUUACCAUCCCUUGACUUGGAUAUCGCGGCCUCAGAGAUGAGGCUUUCAGUUCGGCUGGAUAUCACACAGGUGCUGCAUGGCUGUCGUCAGCUCGUGUCGUGAGAUGUUGGGUUAAGUCCCGCAACGAGCGCAACCCUCGCCUUUAGUUGCCAGCAUUCAGUUGGGCACUCUAGAGGAACCGCCGGUGAUAAGCCGGAGGAAGGUGGGGAUGACGUCAAGUCCUCAUGGCCCUUACGGGAUGGGCUACACACGUGCUACAAUGGUGGUGACAGAGGGUAAUCCCUAAAAGCCAUCUCAGUUCGGAUUGGGGUCUGCAACUCGACCCCAUGAAGUUGGAAUCGCUAGUAAUCGCGUAACAGCAUGACGCGGUGAAUACGUUCCCGGGUCUUGUACACACCGCCU